rnacentral:lncRNA from 1 species
CAUACAUAUUUUGUUCUCCAGGUCCUCGUGUGAUGUUCCUCUGCUCUUGAGGAGCAAAAUUACCAUGAUAUCCUUGGUUGAAAUUCCUCUGAUUUGAAGGCAUUGGAUCUCUACGUUCUCCUUGAUAACCAUCCCUUACCGCAGAUUGUGCAUAGUUUCCCUGUUCUCCUUGUCCGAAGUCUCUCCUUUCUCCUGAAGGAACAGAGUUUCUACCUCCAGGGGCAUCAUAACCCCUUCCAUAUUGCCCAGGCUGACUAUUGCCCUGCUGUGGAGCAUAGUUUGGUCCACCUCCUUGCAUCGAACCCCAUUGCUCAUUUGGUGGAUUUCCUUGUGGAGGUGGUCUGUUAUAAUUUGGAUUUCCUUGUGGAGGUGGUCUGUUAUAAUUUGGAUUUCCUUGUGGAGGUGGUCUGUUAUAAUUUGGCCGGUCAUAUCUGUUUUGAUUCCGUUCUCUACCUUGCCUACCAUAUUGAAUUGGAGGAGGCCUUGGAGUAAUAACCCCGUUCUCAUACUUGUCACCUGAAUAUAAGAAGGAAAUGUACCAGAAAAGAAGCUAUGUUUUAAAAGAAAAGAAAUUAUAACAUACAAAUAAACUCAGAACAUCUGAAUAUGGUCACAUUAAACUGUAAGCAUUGCAAAAAUGCUAAACAUGUGCAACUUGACACAUCCUUAGUUACUGUGAUACUCUGAUAGGUUGCAAAGAUACAAGAAACGAAGUUUAGAAGGAAACGUACAGACCUCCAUACUCCUUAUUGACAGGAUCAAUAUACGAGUCUGGCAAUAUGAAGACAACACCAGGCAAACCUAAUUUCAUUAUAGCAAAAAUUGUAAGUCCUAAUUCUCAUAUAAGACCCUCCAAAUGAGUCCACAGGAAGGAACCAACUACACAAGCUUACCGCGAAACUUUUCUGACAUUUCCUCAGUCAUUACAGCCUGAAAACCAUGGUAAGUUGUGGUGCUAAGUGCAUACAUCCUUUUCUUGGCUUCUUCAACACUGCAAAUAACAACCAAUGUUUACUGCAAGAUAUCCAUCUCACUCAAACACAUGAAGCAUCAAGAAGAUGCUUCAAAUAUACAGUCAUGUAAAGAAGAUCAAAACAAAUAUAAUAAAAGGAACUAAUUUUCCAAAGUGCAAAGGAAAAAAAAGGAUCCAGAAGUCUUUGCCAAGAAGACAUUUGUAGAAUAUACACCAACAUGUGACGAUCCAAGAUUCUAAAAUAAACUAGAACAAACCUAGCAUCCCGUGAAAGGAGCUGUCACCCUCCUCAAACCAGACUCACUUGUUAUGCCAAAUAUACCCAAGUAAACUGAAAGACAUCACUACAGUCUUUCUGGUCCCUGCAACUUGGAUCUUGUAUGAUUUAAGGUGCUCCCAAUUGGCUAUCCACCUGCUGUAAAACUCUAAUUUAUAGCAACUAUCUAUCCUCUUUCCUUGUUCCUUCUAUCUGAAUCUUAAAUCAUCCUACUGUCUAUAAGCCAGCUCCAAUAUUACCUCUCUAUCUUCUACCUCUCCUCUAACUUCGAACAAAGCACCUAAUCACUUCAGGUCCGUCAUCUCCGGGCACCGAAUCAUAAUAUUCUACCCAAUAAACUAACGAAAAAAAUUGACCAACGAAUGAAGGUUAGUUUCAUCUUUUUUGGAUUAUAGAUAGCAAAAUUGUUAUUUAUUCAUCCUCAAUUAUGGGAAACAAGGUAGGAAAAUAAUUGUAACCAGAGUGAAGAUGGAGCUGCCGAAGACCACCUUGUCCGAUCCCUUCUCGUAUCUCCUAAGCAACUCUUGACCAUGAUGUUCACUCUCCAGUCCUAUACAGUCUUGAAUAGCAUUUAUGUUCCCAGGAUAGCGUGCCACUUCUAUAAUCGGACCAGGAAAAGCCAAGUACAAGUACAUGUUUCUAAGUAUAGACAAACUUUGUAGGACUAUCAUCAAAGACUAAUCAUUCUCAAGAACUUUGCUAACAUCACUCGAAGAAACUUCUUUUCUAACCGUUCUCUAAAAGGAAACCAAUCUCAGGUUUGAUCUUUUACCUGCCGACAACCGUUGCUAGUGUUUGGAUGUAGGUCUCGAUCAUCUCUUCACGGCUUGGUGCGGGGUCCUUGGG